AACUCCUCAGUUCUCCAUCAUAUAACCCGAAUCAAAGACUCGUCAUGAUUGUCAAACACCUACGAAAACCAAAAGGAGACUCAAAUGAAGAAAAUCUUUAACAUCAGAUGAAGAUCUCUUGUCUCCAAUGUUAGGUCAAAUCGGCCUUACUUUAGAUAGCAAUAAUCACGGAAAGAAUGAGCGGUAUUGAUAUGAAAAUGAACGAUUAGACAAAAACUUAGACAAGGAAAUGAAUGUAGAAAUCAAAGGCGACAGAAGAAUCUAAUAGAGGAAUGUACUAGAAGAAAAGUCGGAAGACGAUGUUGGAACAAGGAGAUGAAAGGACUCGACGAACCCUAGAUUGCAGGCGCUGUGAUUUCGAUCCCGAUUAGAACUUACCAGAGAGGUUCUCUCGUGUUUUCCCCAAAUUUUGAGUCCCUCGCUUUUUAAUACAGGGUUAGGUCAUGAGACUAUCUUCAACCCAAAAAUCUAAAUAAAAA
rnacentral:lncRNA from 1 species